rnacentral:lncRNA from 10 species
CAAAGGUCUGUUUCUGAUCCCAGUCCAGCACUGAGACCCCCUCUGGGAGCCUUUCUUGCCAAGUCAGCUUGUCAUUCAGGUCCUGGUGUGCAGCCGCUAACUGCUCUGGCCCCGGGGCCAGCUCUCCAGCUGAAUCUGUGUCCAGGAAUGGAACCAAAGUCUCGGUCAAAGUCUCAGUCGAUUCCUGAGGCGGAGCUGACAUCUGGGAGGAAGCAGAGGACCCCAGGUGAGGAAGCCAUGGUUUAAAGCAGAGAUCACCAACUGCUGGACCACAGACCUGCACGAGUUCACGGCCUGUUAGGAACCGAGCCACACAGCAGGAGCACAUGCUCCUCUGCAGAAAGUGAUGGGGCUGCCUUGCCAGCUGGAGCCUGAAACUGUGCCCAGGUAGACAGAACUGCGAGUCCCAGGACAGCCUGGGAAGUGUUGGCUGCCUGGUAAUGGAAGAAUGUCCAGGAUGGAAAACAAGAGGCUGGAUCUGCAAAUGACAUUGUAUUUCAGGGGUCUGCUUUCCUGGUCUGCCCCUCCCCACCUCUGUAGCUCCCUCACAGUGACAGCAGAGCUGUGAACCCAGGAACAAACCCCACCAUUGCCCCUGUCCUCUCUCAUCUCUACUUUCCACAUUGAAAAAUAAUAAAAGAGGCCAGGCAUGGUGGCUCAAAACAGCUAUAAUACCAGCACUAGGAUGCCAAGAUGAGAGAAUGGCUUGAGGCCAGGAGUUCAAGACCUGCCUGAGCAACAUAGAGAGACCCACCCCCCAGUCUCUGCAAAAGCUAAAAAUUAGCUGAGCAUGGUGGGAUGCACUUGAAGUCCCAGCUACUUGGAGGCUAAGUCAGGAGGAUCACUUGAGCCCAGAAGGUUGAGGCUGUAAUGAACCAUGAUUGUGCCACUGCAUUCCAGCCUGGGUGACAGAGUGAUAUCCUGUCUCUAAAAAAUAAAUAAGGUAAUAAUAAUAAAAUAAAUGCCCUCCAGGAGUUUCAGUAAAGGGUCUGAAGUAUAUAAUUUGUACUUGUACCUCAGGCCAGCCUUCUGCCAGUAACCAUGAUUGCAGGCUGAUCCCAAAAGUCGUUGUCUUCAUCUGUUUUAUGCUACUAUAACUGAAUACCACAUGCUGGGAAAUUUACUAGGAAUAGAUGUGUACUUAGCUCACAGUUCUGGAGGCUGGGAAGUCCAAGAGCAUGACACCAGCAUCUGGUGAGGUCCUUUAUGCAGCUUCAUCCCAUAGUGAAAGGCAGAAGGGCAAGAGAGCAUGAGAAGGAGCAAGCAAGAGAGGGCCAAAUUCGCUUUUAUAACAACCUGCCCUCUCAAUAGCAAACCCACUUCUGCAAUAACAACAUUAACCUAUUCAUAAGGGUGGAGUCCUCAUGACCUAAUCACCUCUUAAUAAUCCUACUUCUUAGAACCAUCACAAUGGCAAUUAAAUUUCAACAUGAGUUUUGGAGGGGACAUUCAAACCAUAGCUGUACAGUUUAUAUAGCUAGCAUGGUCAGGCUCAAGUAAAGCUAUCGUAGGAUUAUUGAUUGCCAAUCAUGUUCCAGGCUAUGCCUUAAGUGCUUUGUAUACUUGCAACAAAUUUGUGAACUGAGAAUUAUUCUUAUGAGUGUUUUCCAAACGCGGAAACAGGGUUCAGAAGACUUAAAUAGGAAGGUUGCCCAGACAAAACAGCAGGAAUUUGAACCCAGAGGGAAUUUGAACCCAGGUCUGUUCUGCUCUAAAAUCUGUGCUCUAAAAAAACAAACAAAAUUUCUGUUAUGGCAAAUUUCUAAUAUACACAAAAGUUCUACAAACUAGUACCAUGAAUCACCACAUAUCUGCCACCAAGUUACAAUAACCAUCAACACAGGGCCACUCUUGUUGCAUCUCCCCCUUCUCCCUAAUUUUUUUUUUUUGUGUGUGAGAUGGAGUUUCACUCUUGUUGCCAAGGCUGGAGUGCAAUGAGGCGAUCUCGGCUUACUGCAACCUCCUCCUCCUGGGUUCAAGUGAUUCUCCUGCCUCAGCCUCCAGAAUAGCGCCCACCACCACGCCCGGCUAAUUUUUGUAUUUUUAGUAGAGACAGGGUUUCACCAUGUUAGCCAGGCUGGUCUCAAACUCCUGACCUCAGGUGAUCUGCCCUCCUCAGCCUCCCAAAGUGCUGGGAUUACAGGCAUGAGCCACCAUGCCCGGCCUACUUUUUGUAUUUUUUUUUUUAGUAGAGACAGGGUUUCACCAUGUUGGCCAGGCUGGUCUCGAACUCCUGACCUCAGGUGAUCCACCCACCUCGGCCUCCCAAAGUGUUGGAAUUAUAGGCAUGAGCCACCACGCAUGGCCAAUUAAGUCAUUUUUAAUGAAAAUUAGAUAUCAUGUCAUUUCACCCAUAAACAGUUCAACAUGUGUCUCUAAAAGAUAAAGACAUUCUUAACCCCCUCAAAAUAAUAUCUUUAGGUGAGAGAUUACCAAGAAAAUGUCUUGUUGUUCUUUGAAACAGAAAAAUGGCAAUAUUUGCAUUACCCCCAAAGGAAGAAAGCAUUUCUUCGGAUGUCUUGUGGCAUUUUAGCAUAACGUGGUGGGUGGGGCAUAGUCAUUGUCUGCUGAGUCCAGGAAUGCCCACUGGGCAGCCCCUUAAUCACAAGGAUCUGUCCACCUUGCCCCGUGGAACAAGCUAUUCUGCAUGUUACCCCUAAGUAACAUCAAUUGAUCCAUAAAGAAAACCUGCUCAUACCUAUAAUCCCAGCACUUGAGGCGGGCAGAUCACCUGAGGUCGGGAGUUCCAGACCAGCCUGACCAACAUGGAGA